AACCUUUACACUGCACGCCAGUGCGAUAAGGGGACUCCAAGUGCGAGGGCAUAUAGUCCUCGCUUUUCUGGACCGUAAGGAGGUCCAGGAACAAGGGCUGGGCAAGACCGGUGCCAGCCGCCGCGGUAAUACCGGCAGCCCAAGUGAUGGCCGCUCUUAUUGGGCCUAAAGCGUCCGUAGCUGGCCAGGCAAGUCCGUCGGGAAAUCCGCACGCCCAACGUGCGGGCGUCCGGUGGAAACUGCCUGGCUUGGGACCGGAAGACCUGAGGGGUACGUCCGGGGUAGGAGUGAAAUCCCGUAAUCCUGGACGGACCACCGGUGGCGAAAGCGCCUCAGGAAGACGGAUUCGACGGUGAGGGACGAAAGCUCGGGUCACGAACCGGAUUAGAUACCCGGGUAGUCCGAGCUGUAAACGAUGUCUGCUAGGUGUGACACAGGCUACGAGCCUGUGUUGUGCCGUAGGGAAGCCGUGAAGCAGACCGCCUGGGAAGUACGUCCGCAAGGAUGAAACUUAA
rnacentral:rRNA from 1 species